UACGGGGGGGGCAAGCGUUGUUCGGAAUUACUGGGCGUAAAGGGCUCGUAGGUGGCCAACUAAGUCAGACGUGAAAUCCCUCAGCUUAACUGGGGAACUGCGUCUGAUACUGGAUGGCUUGAGUUUGGGAGAGGGAUGCGGAAUUCCAGGUGUAGCGGUGAAAUGCGUAGAUAUCUGGAGGAACAUCGGUGGCGAAGGCGGCAUCCUGGACCGGUAUUGACGCUGAGGCGCGAAAGCCAGGGGAGCAAACGGG
rnacentral:rRNA from 1 species